UCUUUGGUUCCCUCAGGAGAAACCAAAUCCACCUUAGGCUCAGGGCCCCCAGACCCACCUGACUCUCUCCAACUAUGAGAAACACCGCUAAGUGCCUGGAAAUUUUGGCUCUUGAAGGAGGAACUGUUCAAGUAUUAACACAACACUCACCUUCAUGUCUUCAACUACCAUAUUAUUGACUCUUACUCAUAGGAGGUACAGAGAUGUGGAAGAAAUCGAAAAUUAUUUCUGGACAGAUGUGGUCCAGAAUGGAAAAGGCCAAGGAGAUAAGAAAGGAGCAUGUGAAAGGCACUGUUGAUCUGAUCUAUGAUCUGUGCCUUCCCAUGACAAAGGUGUGAAGAACUGUUUUACAAAAGAGUAGAGAGGCCCUGUCUGUAAUAAACGCAUUAUUACAGAACUAUAAUCAACAGGUUUCAUUGUAAACUUGUGUUUAUCCAUACCAUCCUUCUUUAUGUUCAAAGAGAAUGAUGUGAAGCUUCUUUUAACCAGGUAAAUAAAAAGUUGUCUU